UACGUAGGUGGCAAGCGUUGUCCGGAUUUACUGGGCGUAAAGAGCGCGCAGGCGGUCGUUCAAGUCGCGUGUGAAAGCCCCCGGCUCAACUGGGGAGGGUCACGCGAUACUGAUCGACUCGAAGGCAGGAGAGGGUAGUGGAAUUCCCGGUGUAGUGGUGAAAUGCGUAGAUAUCGGGAGGAACACCAGUGGCGAAGGCGACUACCCGGCCUGUUCUUGACGCUGAGGCGCGAAAGCUAGGGGGGCAAACGGG
rnacentral:rRNA from 1 species